UGGGGAAUAUUGCACAAUGGGCGAAAGCCUGAUGCAGCGACGCCGCGUGAGGGAUGACGGCCUUCGGGUUGUAAACCUCUUUCAGCAGGGACGAAGCGCAAGUGACGGUACCUGCAGAAGAAGCACCGGCUAACUACGAGCCAGCACCCGCGGAAAUACGUAGGGUGCAGGCGUUGUCCGGAAUGACUGGGCGUAAGGAGUUCGUAGGCGGUGUGUUGCGUCGUUUGUGAAAGCCAGCAGCUCAACUGCUGGCUUGCAGGCGAUACGGGCAGACUUGAGUACUGCAGCGGAGACUGGAAGUCCUGGUGUAGCUGUAGAAUGCGCAGAUAUCAGGAGGAGCACCAGUGGCGAAGGCGGGUCUCUCGGCAGUAACUGACGCUGAGGAACGAAAGCGUGGGUAGCGAACAGG
rnacentral:rRNA from 1 species